UACGUAAGGGGCGAGCGUUGCUCGGAAUUACUGGGCGUAAAGGGCUUGUAGGCGGCCUUGUAAGUCGAAUGUGAAAAUCCGGGGCUUAACCCCGGGCACGCGUUCGAAACUGUGAGGCUUGAGUCUGGUGGAGGGCAAUGGAACACCCGGUGUAGCGGUGAAAUGCGUAGAUAUCGGGUAGAACACCGAAGGCGAAGGCAGUUGUCCAUGCCAAGACUGACGCUGAGGAGCGAAAGUAUGGGGAUCAAACAGG
rnacentral:rRNA from 1 species